CCAGAUGGCGACCGGCGUACGGGUGAGUAACGCGUAUCCAACCUUCCCCAUAGUAGGGCACAGCCCGGCGAAAGUCGGAUUAAUUCCCUAUGCAGUCCAGAGAGGACAUCUGACCUGGACGAAAGAUUCAUCGCUAUGGGAUGGGGAUGCGUCUGAUUAGGUUGCAGGCGGGGUAACGGCCCACCUGGCCGACGAUCAGUAGGGUUCUGAGAGGAAGGUCCCCCACAUUGGAACUGAGACACGGUCCAAACUCCUACGGGAGGCAGCAGUGAGGAAUAUUGGUCAAUGGACGGAAGUCUGAACCAGCCAAGUAGCGUGCCAGGAAGACGGCCCUAUGGGUUGUAAACUGCUUUUAUCAGGGGAUAAAGUGAGGUAUGUAUACCUUUUUGCAUGUACCUGAUGAAUAAGGACCGGCUAAUUCCGUGCCAGCAGCGGC
rnacentral:rRNA from 1 species